rnacentral:lncRNA from 1 species
CACCAAAAAUAAGAAGAAAAAUUAAAAACAAAAAAAAAGACUACAUAACUACGGGGAUGAUCAUUCCAUCUACUUCAAAAUCCAGGUGAAUCAGGAUUGCACAUAAACAAUGGGCAAACCUCGACAUAUCUUGUUCUAUUCUCUUCUGAUCUUAUGAAAAACCACAUAAGAUAUGGUUGAAAUCGUUCCUCAAAACUAGUAGAUCAUUGUUGUCCGUGCGACAUUGGUGGUGAUAGCAAUUGCGGCUGCAGGAGAUGGCACUGUUCACACUUCUUGUCAUUUUUUAUUUGAAGAGUAAAAGAAAGAUAUGAAGAAUAUGGCAUGUAUUUGGAGUGAAU